rnacentral:rRNA from 1 species
UGCGGCACGCCAUACAUAAUCAAGUGAACGGAUACAGGAAGCAGCUUGCUGCUUUGCUGACGAGACGGGUAGUAAUGUCUGGGAAACUGCCUGAUUGAGGGGGAUAACUACUGGAAACGGUAGCUAAUACCGCAUAACGUCGCAAGACCAAAGAGGGGGACCUUCGGGCCUCUUGCCAUCGGAUGUGCCCAGAUUGGAUUAGCUAGUAUGUGGGGUAACGGCUCACCUAGGCGACGAUCCCUAGCUGGUCUGAGAGGAUGACCAGCCACACUGGAACUGAGACAGGUCCAACUCCUACGGAUGCAGCGUGGGGAUAUCGACACUGGGCGCCAGCUCCUGCACCAUGCCGCAUCUAUGAAGAAGG